rnacentral:sRNA from 1 species
GAAAGCCGAUUUUCGGAUUGGCGAGUAAAGUGGCCCACGGGUGAGUAACGCGUAGGCGACCUACCCCUGUGUUCGGGACAACAGUGCGAAAGCGCUGCUAAUACCGGAUACGAUCCUUUCGGGGAUGAAAGCAGGCCUCUCGAAGAAGCUUGCGCGCGGGGAUGGGCCUGCGUCCUAUCAGCUAGUUGGCAGGGUAACGGCCUACCAAGGGUAAGACGGGUAGCUGGUCUGAGAGGAUGAUCAGCCACACUGGUUCUCAACACGGNGGAGNCUCCUACGGGAUGUCGUUCUGGGUGAUCUAGAAGUCUCCUAGAAAUCUC